GGGAAGUUGGCUCAGUGGUAGAGUGCCUGCCUUGUAUGCAUGAGGCCCUGGGUUCAAUUCCUCAGUACCA
rnacentral:tRNA from 1 species